UAUUCAAAAAAGACCACAGUCCAUAUACACAACUUUAGGAACACAAGAACAAACACAUAAAACUAGAAAUUCAAAUGAAACAGCUAAAUUAUCAACUAUGAAGCCUCAAUUAACCAAUAAAGAACCAAAAAAAAAAAAAAUUGACCCCAAAGAACAAGAACAUAUUUGGUCAGUGGGGGUGGACUCACAUACAAACCACACUCAACAGAAGCAAAAAAGAAAGCAAGAAAGCUAAAACCCACAGCAUAAAAAUCAAAACCUUUCAAGAAAACAAGAAAGUGUAAUUGGGAAAACUAGAAAUUCAAAUGAAACAGCUAAAUUAUCAAG